rnacentral:rRNA from 1 species
GGCCCAUAUUCCUACGGGAAGCAGCAGUGAGGAAUUUUUCACAAUGGACGAAAGUCUGAUGGAGCAAUACCACGUGAACGAUGAAGGUCUUCUGAUUGUAAAGUUCUUUUAUUUAGGAAAAAAAGCGCGAUAGGAAAUGAUCGCGCCUUGAUUGUACUAUUUGAAUAAGUGACAGCUAACUAUGUGCCAGCAGCUGCGGUAAUACAUAGGUCACAAGCAUUAUCCGGAUUUAUUGGGCGUAAAGGAAGCGUAGGCUGAAUUGUGUAUCCAUUGUUAAAUAUAUUUGCUUAACAAAUGUUCGCGGUGGAGAUUACAAUUCUAGAAUUAGUUAGAGGGCAUUGGAAUUCAAUGUGUAGUGGUGGAAUACGUAGAUAUAUUGAAGAACACCAGUGGCUAAGGCGAAUGCCUGGGACAUAAUUGACGCUGAGGCUUGAAAGCGUGGGUAGCAAAUGGGAUUAGAUACCCCAGUAGUCCACGCCGUAAACGAUGGGUAUUAAUCACUUGAUUCGUUUGGGUGGUGAAGCUAACGCGUUAAAUACCCCGCCUGGGUAGUAUAUAUGCAAAUAUGAAACUCAAAGAAAUUGACGGGGACCUGAACAAGUGGUGGAGCAUGUUGCUUAAUUCGAUAAUACACGAAAAACCUUACCAAGGCUUGCAAUCUUCUGCAAAGCUGUAGAAAUACAGUGGAGGUUAUCAGAGUGACAGGUGGUGCAUGGCUGUCGUCAGCUCGUGUCUUGAGAUGUUUGGUUAAGUCCCAUAACGAGCGCAACCCUUUAUAUUAGUUAAUUAGUUCUAGUAUGACUGAAUCGUAAGAUCUAGGAAGGAUGGGGUGAAGUCAAGUCAUCAUGCCCCUUAUGCCUUGGGCUGCAAACGUGCUACAAUGGUAGAUACAAUGUGUUACAAUCUAGCGAUAGUGAGUCAAUCACCUAAAGUCUAUCUCAGUCCGGAUAAAAGGCUGCAAUUCGCCUAUUUGAAGAUGGAAUCACUAGUAAUCCUGU